rnacentral:lncRNA from 1 species
UGAGCUACUGCGCACCAUAUUGACAUACUUCGACCUAAGCAUCAUGGAAAGAUGAAGAGUAGAAUCGGUAAAAUUAUGAAUAAACAAAUAUGGGAUUUGAGCAUGUUCAAUUUUUAUUCAGGCCCCUAAACCUUAGUUUAAACAAGAAACAAAUUAAAACAAAAACAAAAAAAAGGAAGAUAAUGAAACAGGAAACAAAUUAAAACAAAAACAAAAAAAUAAAGAUAAUGAAAAACUUACAGUUGGUUCUAUAAAAUGAAGUCCAACCAAAGAUAUUCUACAAUUCUUUAAGAACAAUUCAAUUUAUAGUUGUUCUGUCUCUCUAAACCACCCAAGAAGCUUUCAAAUUUUUUGUCAGAUUUCUCUCCAAACUAAGCUCUAGAUUUGCAUGAGUUCAAAAAAGUCUUAAUUUUAGGAUGCACCAAUGGUGUGCACUAAUCUAGAAGCUAAUGUUGUAUUUUAUUUAAGUUUCCGUAGAGUCCAAUGAGAAUUGGACUUCCUUAUAUACUAUGAUAGUGGUUGCAAAAAAAAGCCCUCUUCCUGGACCCUGUGAAGUUUUGCGAGGCCCAAGACCUUGAUCUGAGG